UUCUCGCAUUGACUUUCUUGAGAUUAACUUUCGGAUGAAGGACAAUUUCAUUAGCACUGAGGUUCGGAUCAAAAUCCGCCGUAAUGCUCUUAUCGCUGGUCGAUGAGAAACUUUUGAUUGAAAAAGGCGUGUUGUCCCUGCUUUUGAGUCUGAUGUCACCCAGUCCCGCAUUGUCUUUAUUCAAUACGAGCUUAAUCUCCUUGGGCUGAAAUUCCACCUUGUGUACCGCUUUGGCCUUUAUCGUCAGCUUGACACUCGGAUUAUCCUUAUCGUUGCUCGGAACUUGUACACUUUUUACUACUGUCCCGGGU
rnacentral:rRNA from 1 species